rfam:TPA: Bos taurus chromosome 3, whole genome shotgun sequence.
UCCCUCGUGGUCCAGUGUCUAAGACACUGCACUUACAAUGCAGGGGGCCUAGGUUAAAUCCUUGGUCAGGGAA